AGUGAACGCUGGCGGUAGGCCUAACACAUGCAAGUCGAACGGCAGCACAGUAAGAGCUUGCUCUUACGGGUGGCGAGUGGCGGACGGGUGAGGAAUACAUCGGAAUCUACUUUUUCGUGGGGGAUAACGUAGGGAAACUUACGCUAAUACCGCAUACGACCUACGGGUGAAAGCAGGGGAUCUUCGGACCUUGCGCGAUUGAAUGAGCCGAUGUCGGAUUAGCUAGUUGGCGGGGUAAAGGCCCACCAAGGCGACGAUCCGUAGCUGGUCUGAGAGGAUGAUCAGCCGCACUGGAACUGAGACACGGUCCAGACUCCUACGGGAGGCAGCAGUGGGGAAUAUUGGACAAUGGGCGCAAGCCUGAUCCAGCCAUACCGCGUGGGUGAAGAAGGCCUUCGGGUUGUAAAGCCCUUUUGUUGGGAAAGAAAAGCAGCAGGUUAAUACCCCGCUGUUCUGACGGUACCGAAAGAAUAAGCACCGGCUAACUUCGUG
rnacentral:rRNA from 1 species